UACGUAUGUCGCAAGCGUUAUCCGGAAUUAUUGGGCGUAAAGCGAGUCUAGGCGGCUUGUUAAGUCAGAUGUGAAAAUGCGGGGCUCAACUCCGUAUUGCGUUUGAAACUGGCAGGCUAGAGUACUGGAGAGGUGGGCGGAACUACAAGUGUAGAGGUGAAAUUCGUAGAUAUUUGUAGGAAUGCCGAUAGUGAAGACAGCUCACUGGACAGAUACUGACGCUAAAGCUCGAAAGCGUGGGGAGCGAACAGG
rnacentral:rRNA from 2 species